rnacentral:rRNA from 1 species
GACGAACGCUGGCGGCGUGCCUAAUACAUGCAAGUAGAACGCUGAAGGAGGAGCUUGCUUCUCUGGAUGAGUUGCGAACGGGUGAGUAACGCGUAGGUAACCUGCCUGGUAGCGGGGGAUAACUAUUGGAAACGAUAGCUAAUACCGCAUAAUAGUAGAUGUUGCAUGACAUUUGCUUAAAAGGUGCAAUUGCAUCACUACCAGAUGGACCUGCGUUGUAUUAGCUAGUUGGUGGGGUAACGGCUCACCAAGGCGACGAUACAUAGCCGACCUGAGAGGGUGAUCGGCCACACUGGGACUGAGACACGGCCCAGACUCCUACGGGAGGCAGCAGUAGGGAAUCUUCGGCAAUGGACGGAAGUCUGACCGAGCAACGCCGCGUGAGUGAAGAAGGUUUUCGGAUCGUAAAGCUCUGUUGUAAGAGAAGAACGAGUGUGAGAGUGGAAAGUGCACACUGUGACGGUAUCGUACCAGAAAGGGACGGCUAACUACGU